rnacentral:sRNA from 1 species
GGCGGAGGCCUGCAAGUCCGUUGAAUAUGCAAUGAAGAAAUGUCCCAAUGGCAUGUUCUCUGAAAUCAAGUACGAUGGAGAGCGAGUCCAGGUGCAUAAGAAUGGAGACCACUUCAGCUACUUCAGCCGCAGUCUCAAGCCCGUCCUUCCUCACAAGGUGGCCCACUUUAAGGACUACAUUCCCCAGGCUUUUCCUGGGGGCCACAGCAUGAUCUUGGAUUCUGAAGUGCUUCUGAUUGACAACAAGACAGGCAAACCACUGCCCUUUGGGACUCUGGGAGUGCACAAGGUACUAGCUCAGGGCCAUAUGUGCAAGAAUGAAUGAGUGUCAGUAUGUACAUGUGGGUGCACGCUGCAGUCUGAAAAGGGAGGAAAUAUCCCUUAGUGUGGGCCUUAUUCUCGCUUCUGACCUGUUUCUGGUUUGGUUUUUUGUCUUUUGUUUUUCUCCUAAAAAGGGGCUGG